rnacentral:rRNA from 1 species
GACGAACGCUGGCGGCGUGCUUAACACAUGCAAGUCGAGCGAUGAAGCACCUUCGGGUGUGAAUUAGCGGCGAACGGGUGAGGAACACGUGAGAAAUCUGCCUUCAACACUGGGAUAACUCCGGGAAACCGGGGCUAAUACCGGAUAUGAAACCUGCGGGCAUCCGCGGGUUUGGAAAGUUUUCCGGUUGAAGAUGAUCUCGCGGCCUAUCAGCUUGUUGGUGAGGUAAUGGCUCACCAAGGCGACGACGGGUAGCCGGCCUGAGAGGGCGACCGGCCACACUGGGACUGAGACACGGCCUAGACUCCUACGGGAGGCAGCAGUGGGGAAUAUUGGGCAAUGGAGGAAACUCUGACCCAGCGACGCCGCGUGCGGGAUGAAGGCCUUCGGGUUGUAAACCGCUUUCAGCAGGGAAGAAGCGAAAGUGACGGUACCUGCAGAAGAAGCACCGGCUAACUAUGUGCCAGCAGCCGCAGUAA